GCUCGACCCUGUACCGACACUGUCCCCAGACUCAGUUCUUUCUGCUUCUCUCCUCUCUCCACUUUGCUAGUCAAAGGAUUUCCUAGUAAUAUUUUUCACCAGGUGCAAGAGCCUUGUGCUUCCCUGGUGGCUGAGAGAGUAAAGAAUCCGCUUGCCAAGCAGGAGACGCGGAUUCAAUCUUGGAGUCGAGAAGAUCCCCUGGAGAAGGGAAUGGCAAUCCACUCCAGUAUUCUUGCCUGGGGAAUUCCAAGGACGGAGGAGCCUGGUGAGCUACAGUCCAUGGAGUCGCAAAGAGUCAGACACGACUUAACGACUAGACAACAAGAGCCCCACUGCACACUCCUCGCAGUAUGGAAGAGGACGUUGGGCUUCUUAGCCUGGUCUUCCUUCCUGCCUCACUCCGACAUCAAUGUCUGAGGCCACGUACCUCCUGUUAAGGCUCCAAUCAGUACUUCUCCCCUGGCUGCAGGUUCGCAUCACCUGGGAACUUCAGAAUCGGCCCCUGGCAGCCACGCCCCCUCGAGAUCCUGCUCUGAUUGGUCUGGGCCCUGGAGGUUGUGGGCGUGUUGAGAGACCUCCAAGUGGCUGGGAGGGUCCUCGUGCGUAGCCAUUGCUCUGUCCUUUGGCAAGUUCUCCGCGGUCAGCUUAUGCCUUUCUUCUCAUUCCUGAAACCUGUUUCUUAGUCCGGAUAGCCCUCUAACCUUCUCUUCCCCACGUUCUCGUCCCUGUGAGUACCCAGCUCUAAGCUCGUGGACAGAACUCGUGGUCCUCUUCCCCGCCUUCACUGUUUGGGGGACCACUUCUGUGCCAGCUUCGAGCCCGCUCUGUCCCACAGAUUGACUUGUGAGUUAGUCCUCACGCUUUACACGGUGAAAUUUUGGACCACGUUUUAUUUCUCUUGGUAGUCCAAGCUUCUGACGGUGCCCGGGAAGACCCUGUGCUUGGUGACUGGGAAUGUCGACGAACGACUGAAUGGACAGCCAGACUCCAUGUUGCUGAGAUCUCCGAGCCUUUCCGAAAAGCCGUGAGCAGCGUCCUGAGGUACAUGUCCUGGGCCUGGGAGGGAGGAGGGGCACCCCCGAGCAGGAUUUGAGGGCCAGUUUUCUCCAUCUUCCUUCACAGCUGCAUAAAAAUCUCUUACUCCUAGGAUGAACAAGUCAUGCCUCAAGUUUUACUUUUAGAAACUCUGCUUGAAGCAAAGAUUUAGAAAUCAUAAAAGCUAGCAUUUACUGGGGACUUACCAUGUGUUGGUGAUAUAUGCAAUCUCAUUUAAUCAUCCAAGCAGCCCCGUGUUUAUCAGCCCUGAUUUACGGGUCAGGAAACAGAGGCUCCUAGAUGCUGCCUUAUGUGGCAAUGACUGCUUAGACUCAUGAACAUCUGGUCUCCUCUUCCUGGAUUCCUAGUCAGACCACAUUGUCUAAGUGUCCUUUGCAGUAGGAAGGUCCACGGAACCCCUCAUGGAAUGUGAGUGGAGGGGAUAAGUAUACCUCCAAGUGUGGCCCAU
rnacentral:lncRNA from 1 species